GAUGAACGCUGGUGGCGUGCCUAAUACAUGCAAGUCGAGUGAACAGACGAGGAGCUUGCUCCUCUGACGUUAGCGGCGGACGGGUGAGUAACACGUGGAUAACCUACCUAUAAGACUGGGAUAACUUCGGGAAACCGGAGCUAAUACCGGAUAAUAUAUUGAACCGCAUGGUUCAAUAGUGAAAGACGGUUUUGCUGUCACUUAUAGAUGGAUCCGCGCCGCAUUAGCUAGUUGGUAAGGUAACGGCUUACCAAGGCAACGAUGCGUAGCCGACCUGAGAGGGUGAUCGGCCACACUGGAACUGAGACACGGUCCAGACUCCUACGGGAGGCAGCAGUAGGGAAUCUUCCGCAAUGGGCGAAAGCCUGACGGAGCAACGCCGCGUGAGUGAUGAAGGUCUUCGGAUCGUAAAACUCUGUUAUUAGGGAAGAACAAAUGUGUAAGUAACUAUGCACGUCUUGACGGUACCUAAUCAGAAAGCCACGGCUAACUACGUG
rnacentral:rRNA from 1 species